ACGCUAGCUACAGGCUUAACACAUGCAAGUCGAGGGGAAACGGCAUUAAGUGCUUGCACUUUUUGGACGUCGACCGGCGCACGGGUGAGUAACGCGUAUCCAACCUUCCCAUGACUAAGGGAUAACCUGCCGAAAGGCAGACUAAUACCUUAUGGUCUUCACUGACGGCAUCAGAUGUGAAGUAAAGAUUUAUCGGUUAUGGAUGGGGAUGCGUCUGAUUAGCUUGUUGGCGGGGUAACGGCCCACCAAGGCAACGAUCAGUAGGGGUUCUGAGAGGAAGGUCCCCCACAUUGGAACUGAGACACGGUCCAAACUCCUACGGGAGGCAGCAGUGAGGAAUAUUGGUCAAUGGGCGAGAGCCUGAACCAGCCAAGUAGCGUGCAGGAUGACGGCCCUAUGGGUUGUAAACUGCUUUUGUAUGGGGAUAAAGUCAAUCACGUGUGAUUGUUUGCAGGUACCAUACGAAUAAGGACCGGCUAAUUCCGUGCCAGCAGCCGCGGUAAUACGGAAGGUCCGGGCGUUAUCCGGAUUUAUUGGGUUUAAAGGGAGCGUAGGCUGGAGAUUAAGUGUGUUGUGAAAUGUAGACGCUCAACGUCUGACUUGCAGCGCAUACUGGUUUCCUUGAGUACGCACAACGUUGGCGGAAUUCGUCGUGUAGCGGUGAAAUGCUUAGAUAUGACGAAGAACUCCGAUUGCGAAGGCAGCUGACGGGAGCGCAACUGACGCUGAAGCUCGAAGGUGCGGGUAUCGAACAGGAUUAGAUACCCUGGUAGUCCGCACAGUAAACGAUGGAUGCCCGCUGUUGGUACCUGGUAUCAGCGGCUAAGCGAAAGCAUUAAGCAUCCCACCUGGGGAGUACGCCGGCAACGGUGAAACUCAAAGGAAUUGACGGGGGCCCGCACAAGCGGAGGAACAUGUGGUUUAA
rnacentral:rRNA from 1 species